UUUCCAGAGUUACAUUUUUUUUCCUCAAAAAUAGUUGUUUUUGCUCUAUUUUGAGUGUACAGAGUCAAAUUUAUCAGUAGAGUGGGAGCAAAAUCACAGAGUAACUGCAGUGACUCCUCCCAUAACUGUUCUCUUCCCAAAGUUUCGUUUAUCCGCCAUCUUAUUAGUCACGGCCGUCGACCGCUGCUGCUUUGCUUUCUGCUGGAUGGUAAAGUAAAUAUAGUUUCAAAGUCUUGGUAACGUUAUUCAUAUAUUUUUCAUAAUAUUCACCCGUUAUUAGCUCAGGAAAUUUCGUCAAUUUAUUUAUUUUUUUUGCAUAUUACAUCGCUUUCUCAUGUUAGCUUGAGCACUAAGUUGUGCCAUGUCAGAAAUAAAUUAGACUAAGUAAUCUUUAAUGCAAACAGCUAAGUUAAUAUAAAAAUAACUAACAUUAAUUGACAUCAGUAAGUACGCUAUAGCCUAUUAACGUUAAAUGUUUGUCCACAUAAGUAUUGUGACAAGUGAUCGAAAUGUGCGCCACAUGCCACCACAUGUACUUGACUCGGUAUAGAGUAAAAGUCAACGUUAGCCGUAAUUAACUUGCAUUGCUGGGAGGCUAUUUUGAUAUGCAUUAUUAUCCCGAUUCGGAGGGUUACUGUGGGGAUGUAGGUAUUUUCAGCAUUUACAGAUUUUUUAAAUAUAUUUUGUCAUCUUUGACCGUAUGAAUCUAGAAUUUUGGGGUGUGACAAUUCAGAAUUCGCCGUUGACUCCUUUUUGUCCACUGCCGAACACAGUAUAAUAAUUUGUUUCUGCUCUAACGUUAACUGUUCUCUUCCCAAAGUUUCGUUUCGUUCCGCCAUUACAGUCAUUGCCAUUGACCACUGCUGCUUCGAUUUGAGAAGAUAACGUGAGUAAAGAUGCAGACCAACAAUGUUAUCAGAGUGAAGUUCAAAGACAGCAAGAGAUAUAUUUUUUCUUCAAAACCUUUUACAUUUCAAUCAUUUUUGGAAUGUGUUGCCAAUAAAUUUGAUC